AAAGGCAGAAAAUGUGUAAUGCUUGAGGGAAACUUUACAGAAGUCUACCCACCUAUGUAUGAGCAGUGUUCACAGAGUACAGAUAACUAUGGCAUAAGCUUCAGAAAUAUUGCAGAGUGUACAUUUACAUAGAUGCAUUCUAAUACUACUUUAUGAGUAUUGUUUAGUGGACCAUUUUGACUACAAUAUGGAAAUGUAAUCUGUUAACAUUGGUAUUUUUAUAUUCAGUGGAGCUGAGUGUACUGGACUCCUUCUCAUGGGAGCCAUAAUUUGGACCAAGGAGACCCUGAACUGAAUUCAACAUUAGUCUUCAUUACAUUUCUGCAGCAGAAGAAACACUUACCUAAAGAAAAACAGACUCAGGUUAGUAAAUGUUGUUUUCUGAGUUUAAACUUGUUCAGAUUAAUCAAAGAGAAAUUCUUCUACUUUUUGGGAUUUAGCGUUUGAUGUCUUUACUGAAUACAUCUAA
rnacentral:lncRNA from 1 species